GCAAGUCGAGCGGUAGAGAGGUGCUUGCACCUCUUGAGAGCGGCGGACGGGUGAGUAAAGCCUAGGAAUCUGCCUGGUAGUGGGGGAUAACGCUCGGAAACGGACGCUAAUACCGCAUACGUCCUACGGGAGAAAGCAGGGGACCUUCGGGCCUUGCGCUAUCAGAUGAGCCUAGGUCGGAUUAGCUAGUUGGUGAGGUAAUGGCUCACCAAGGCGACGAUCCGUAACUGGUCUGAGAGGAUGAUCAGUCACACUGGAACUGAGACACGGUCCAGACUCCUACGGGAGGCAGCAGUGGGGAAUAUUGGACAAUGGGCGAAAGCCUGAUCCAGCCAUGCCGCGUGUGUGAAGAAGGUCUUCGGAUUGUAAAGCACUUUAAGUUGGGAGGAAGGGCAUUAACCUAAUACGUUGGUGUUUUGACGUUACCGACAGAAUAAGCACCGGCUAACUCUGUGCCAGCAGCCGCGGUAAUACAGAGGGUGCAAGCGUUAAUCGGAAUUACUGGGCGUAAAGCGCGCGUAGGUGGUUCGUUAAGUUGGAUGUGAAAUCCCCGGGCUCAACCUGGGAACUGCAUUCAAAACUGUCGAGCUAGAGUAUGGUAGAGGGUGGUGGAAUUUCCUGUGUAGCGGUGAAAUGCGUAGAUAUAGGAAGGAACACCAGUGGCGAAGGCGACCACCUGGACUGAUACUGACACUGAGGUGCGAAAGCGU
rnacentral:rRNA from 1 species